UACAGAGGUCUCAAGCGUUGUUCGGAUUCAUUGGGCGUAAAGGGUGCGUAGGUGGCGCCGUAAGUCGGGUGUGAAAUUUCGGAGCUUAACUCCGAAACUGCAUUCGAUACUGCGGUGCUUGAGGACUGGAGAGGAGACUGGAAUUCAUGGUGUAGCAGUGAAAUGCGCAGAUAUCGGGAAGAACACCCGUGGCGAAGGCGGCACUCUGGGACGGUACUGACGCUGAGACGCGAAAGCGUGGGGAGCGAACAGG
rnacentral:rRNA from 1 species